rnacentral:rRNA from 1 species
UACGUAGGCAGCGAGCGUUGUUCGGAAUUACUGGGCGUAAAGAGUGUGUAGGCGGUGCUCUAAGUUCGGUGUGAAAUCUCCUGCUUAACUGGGAGGGUGCGCCGGAAACUGGAGUGCUCGAACGUGGGAGAGGAAAGCGGAAUUCCCGUGGUGUAGCGGUGAAAUGCGUAGAUAUCCGGAGAACACCGGUGGCGAAGGCGGCUCUCUGGGACGGUACUGACGCUGAGGAGCGAAAGCGUGGGGAGCGAACAGG